UACGUAGGGGGCAAGCGUUAUCCGGAAUUACUGGGUGUAAAGGGUGCGUAGGCGGCACGCCAAGUCAGUUGUGAAACCCGUAGGCUCAACCUACGGCUUGCAAUUGAAACUGGCGAGCUAGAGUACAGGAGAGGAAAGCGGAACUCCUAGUGUAGCGGUGAAAUGCGUAGAUAUUAGGAAGAACACCGGUGGCGAAGGCGGCUUUCUGGACUGAAACUGACGCUGAGGCACGAAAGCGUGGGGAGCAAACAGG
rnacentral:rRNA from 1 species